rnacentral:rRNA from 2 species
UGGGGAAUAUUGGACAAUGGGGGCAACCCUGAUCCAGCGAUGCCGCGUGAGUGAUGAAGGCCCUAGGGUUGUAAAACUCUUUCGUCAGGGAAGAUAAUGACGGUACCUGAAGAAGAAGAUCCGGCUAACUCCGUGCCAGCAGCCGCGGUAAUACGGAGGGGUCUAGCGUUAUUCGGAAUUACUGGGCGUAAAGCGAGCGUAGGCGGAUUUGUAAGUUGGAGGUGAAAUCCCAGAGCUUAACUCUGGAACUGCCUUCAAAACUACAUUUCUUGAGUUUGGUAGAGGAGAGUGGAAUUCCUAGUGUAGAGGUGAAAUUCGUAGAUAUUAGGAGGAACACCAGUGGCGAAGGCGACUCUCUGGGCCAAUACUGACGCUGAGGUUCGAAAGCAUGGGUAGCGAACAGG